rnacentral:rRNA from 1 species
UCGAGAAUAUUUUGCAAUGGGCGAAAGCCUGACAAUGCGACGCCGCGUGAGCGAUGAAGGCCUUCGGGUUGUAAAGCUCUGUCACGCUGGAAGAGAUCGUAAGAGGUUAAUACCCUCUUGCGUUGACGGUACAGCGAAAGGAAGCCACGGCUAACUCCGUGCCAGCAGCCGCGGUAAUACGGAGGGUGCAAGCGUUGUUCGGAAUUACUGGGCGUAAAGCGCACGUAGGCGGUGGCGUAAGUCGGAUGUGAAAGCCCUCGGCUCAACCGGGGAACUGCAUUCGAGACUGCGAUGCGUGAGUGCCGGAGAGGGUGGCGGAAUUCCAGGUGUAGGGGUGAAAUCCGUAGAUAUCUGGAGGAACACCAGUGGCGAAGGCGGCCACCUGGUCGGCAACUGACGCUGAGGUGCGAAAGCGUGGGGAUCAAACA